rnacentral:rRNA from 1 species
CCUACGGGUGGCAGCAGUGGGGAAUAUUGCACAAUGGGGGAAACCCUGAUGCAGCAACGCCGCGUGGGUGACGAAGUAUUUCGGUAUGUAAAGCCCUAUCUGCCGGGAAGAGAAUGACGGUACCUGACUACGAAGCCCCGGCUAACAACGUGCCACCAGCCGCGGUAAUACGUCGGGGGCAAGCGUUAUCCGGAUUUACUGGGUGUAAAGGGAGCGUAGAGGGUUGUGCAAGUCUGAAGUGAAAGCCCGCGGCUCAACUGCGGAACGGCUGUGGAAACUGUGUAACUGGAGUGGUGGAGAGGUAAGCGGAAUUCGUGGUGUAGCGGUGAAAUGCGUAGAGAUCAGGAGGAACACCGACGGCGAAGGCAGCUUACUGGACAGUAACUGACGUUGAGGCUCGAAAGCGUGGGGAGCGAACAGGAUUAGAUACCCCGGUAGUC